rnacentral:rRNA from 1 species
GCGACGCCGCGUGAACGAUGAAGUCUUUCGGGAUGUAAAGUUCUGUCAGCAGGGAAAAUUAUGAUGGUACCUGCAGAGGAAGCACCGGCAAACUAUGUGCCAGCAGCCGCGGUAAUACAUAGGGUGCAAGCGUUGUCCGGAUUUAUUGGGCGUAAAGAGCGUGUAGGUGGUGUUGUAAGUCAAAAUUAAAAGUCAGAGGCUCAACUUCUGCAUGGUUUUGAUACUGCAGCGCUAGAGAUUGGGAGAGGAAAGCGGAACAAACAGUGUAGCGGUGAAAUGCGUAGAUAUUGUUUGGAACACCCGUGGCGAAGGCGGCUUUCUGGACCAAUUCUGACACUGAGACGCGAGAGCGUGGGGAUCAAACAGGAUUAGAUACCCUGGUAGUCCACGCUGUAAACGAUGUACAUUAGGUAUAGAGGGUAUCGACCCCCUCUGUGCCGAAGCUAACGCGUUAAAUGUACCGCCUGGGGAGUACGGUCGCAAGAUUAAAACUCAAAGGAAUUGACGGGGGCCCGCACAAGCAGUGGAUCAUGUGGUUUAAUUCGACGAUACCCGAAAAACCUUACCAAAGCUUGACAUCUGCCAGACUUUCGUGGAAGCACGAGAUGGCCCGCAAGGGAAUGGCAAGACAGGUGGUGCAUGGUUGUCGUCAGCUCGUGUCGUGAGAUGUUAGGUUAAGUCCUGCAACGAGCGCAACCCUCGUACUGUGUUGCUACAUUUAGUUGAGCACUCUCAGUAGACUGCCCGUGGUAAACGGGAGGAAGGUGGGGAUGACGUCAAAUCAUCAUGCCCUUUAUGCUUUGGGCUACACACAUGAUACAAUGGCCGUUACAAAGGGAUGCGAAACCGCAAGGCGAAGCAAAUCUCAAAAAAACGGUCCCAGUUCAGAUUGAAGGCUGCAACUCGCCUUCAUGAAGUCGGAAUUGCUAGUAAACGCAGAUCAGCAUGCUGCGUUGAAUACGUUCCCGGGCCUUGUACACACCGCCCGUCACACCAUGAAAGCCGUAAAUAUCCGAAGUCAGUGAGCUAACCGCAAGGAGGCAGCUGCCGAAGAUAGAGACGGUGAUUGGGGUGAAGUCGUAACAAGGUAGCCGUACCGGAAGGUG